rnacentral:rRNA from 1 species
AACGAACGCUGGCGGCAGGCCUAACACAUGCAAGUCGAACGCUCCAGCAAUGGAGAGUGGCAGACGGGUGAGUAACGCGUGGGAACCUUCCCAGUGGUACGGAAUAGCUCAGGGAAACUU